rnacentral:misc_RNA from 1 species
GAAAUGCGAUAAGUAGUGUGAAUUGCAGAAUUCAGUGAAUCAUCGAAUCUUUGAACACACAUUGCGCCCCUCGGUAUUCCGUGGGGCAUGCCUGUUCGAGCGUCAUCUACACCCUCAAGCUCUGCUUGGUGUUGGGCGUCUGUCCCGCCUCCUUCGCGCGCGGACUCGCCCCAAAUCCAUUGGCGGCGGCCCUUGCCUCCCUCUCGCGCAGCACAUUGCGCUUCUCGAGGCGCGGCGGACCGCGUCCAGCAAGCAACCGUCACACCGUCUUUGACCUCGGAUCAGGUAGGGAUACCCGCUGAACUUAAGC